AAUCACUUAACCCUAAACGCCUAGCUCUCGCCUCUCUUCUGCCUUGGAAUGGAUGGUAGAUUCUAAGAAAGUAAGGUUUAAAAAAAGGUGUAGGUGGAGAGGGAAGGAACUGGGGAAACAAGUUGGGGCGGAGCUUUGUCUUCCAGCGCCCCGCCCAAUGGGCGGAGCCUAAAGCAAUUUAUCAUGGACUUCAGAAAGACCGCCUUCAGCACUAAACCUCGCCUCCCCAAGAGAUCCGGCCAAUCAUCCCAGGGGUGACGUGACGUCAUCAUAACACAAAUAGGCAUCCGUAACCAUCUUUAUUCCUGGCAACUGGUAUUUGAAGUCUGCAACGGCUUUUAUUCGUGAAAAUCGCUGUGCCAGAAGCCUCCGCAGCUCCGACUCAACGUUAGCAGGAAAUGCAGAGUCCAAUAUGAAAGACUGCGGGCCCAAGACGGCGGAAGAUUUGAUGCGUAGAACGUCCCGGAAGUGGGCAUCCCGUCUUGAUUAGGGGGCGGGGCCAAGACGACGACUGCGUCACCGACUGGUCGUUUUGCGCAGAUUCUGUUUUGAUACAGCGCAUGCUUACUUUCGCCUCCUGAAGCCCAACUUCGGGUGGGGGCGGGACGUUGCUAUGGUGACGAAUACCCUCGAAAUUCCCCGGGGAUCUGCGUGCUGGUCCCUUAUGCAGUUCAUGGGCUCGACAUUCUGGGAGGGGUGAGCACAGAUGCUUGUUGGAGCCCAUCAUUCUUGAAGAAAGCACCUUCCUGGCCCAGGUGGAAUCUCUAGCUCUCCCACAACAGGGCCGUCCUGGGAAAUGUGUAUGCAGAGCUCUCCUGGCCACCUUUGGGGUGUGCAUGGCUCAGACCCUACAAGAGUGUACGGGUUUGUUUUGUUAAUGAAAUAGCCACACAUCCCGCACAUCCCACCUAAGGCUGUAUGUUUGGGUGUUUGGAGUAGCAAUCUCCUGGGACCACCUAGCCCGAUUAAGAAGGAUCUGGAGUCUUGAAGGAAACCCAUCUGGAAAGCUCGGGGAGGUUGGCCUCCCUCUGCCCCUCCUCGAAUUCAAUUUUCCCUAAGAAGCCUUUGAGGUCCUGGGCAAGGGCUUCCUGGCAUUUUUGGACAGAGCCAUCCAUCAUUUUCCUGACUGUCUUUAAGCCUGGAAAAUUGAGGCAGGCAAGCUGGAACUCCUUCCUAACUUCCUCCUUGAAGAGCUGUUUCCUGUUUCUUCCUUUUGCAGCAGAAAGACAAUUUAUUCCUGUCACUGCCUGUGCCCAGGGCAGACCGUCGUUCCCCAUUUCCCCAUCUCCCUCUGCAGCGAGAUCCCUGACUGAUCAUCUUGCCAAGAGUCUCCAUCGGAAUCGUUCACGUGGUGGUGGGGGGAGGGAAGGGGGGAUGUUCUGAAUGGGUCCACUUAGUAUCCUGCCUGUGUUGUGUUGGAGAAGCAAAGCCUUUAAGGGAUGCUGCCCGAGAAGCCCUGACCAGGAUGCAGAUGCUGGCCGCUGGCCUCACCCCAUUGUUCCAGCCUGAGAGAGAGUGAGGGCUCCCGGGCCACCCUUUUGGAGCAGACAGGCUGCCCUGCCCAGAGGCCUGGCUAUGUUUGCCAGCGCCCAUCGACAUCAUUCUUGGCUGUCGGUAGCAUGGAAGAGCAUUUUCUGUGGGUGACUUAGCAGGAAGCACGUGGGAUCCAGCCUGGAGAAACAGAAAAGGACCCAGCAUCCUGCGUUCUGCUUCCAGCAUCCUCAUCCAAUCCACAAUUAUUUAUUAGAACCAUUUUACUCUCUGUCUAUGUCAUCCGAGCUGUGUGUGAACCUGGGCAAGACCCUUCAACUCAACUGUAUAAAAAAAAUGGGAUCAUAACAGCAUCUACCUCCCAGGUAGUCGUGGGAAUCAGUGGGACCGUCUGGAACAUUCUUUGCAAACCUGAAAACACUGUAUAAAUGCUAGUGAUGGCGGUGGCGAUGAUGGUGAUAGUGCUCCUCUUUUGUGCCGGCCUCUAAGGAUAUGAAGGCAAAAAGAAAAAGAAGGGGGCAGCUGAGUUGCUCAGUAGAUUGAGUCAGGCCCAGAGAUGGGAGGUCCUGGGUUCAAAUUUGACCUCAGAUUUUUCCAAGCUUUGUGACCCUGGGCAAGUCUCUUAACUCCUAAUUGCCAGCCUUUACCACUCUUUUGCUUUGGAAUCAAUACACAGUAUUCAUUCUAAGAUGGAAACUGGGUUUUAAAAAAAAAGCACUUAGUACAGUGCCUGGCACAUAGUAGGUGUCUGACAAAUGCUUAUUCCCUUCCCCUUCCUUCUGUUAUAGCAGUUUUGGUCUCUGGGAUUUCCUAUCCCAGCUCCCACUCCAGAGUAAGUUGGGUCCUCAAAGCUCUCCUUCAUUUCCCUCUCAAGGUUCUAGAGAUAUCCCUGAGGGGUUCAGGCAUUUUUUUUAAUCCUUACUUUCUGUCUUAGAAGCAAUGCCAUGUAUCAAAUCUAAGGCAGAAGAGUGGUAAGGGCUAGACAAUGGAGGAAGUUCAAUCACUUACCCAGUAUCUGAGGUCAGAUUUGCACCCAAGACCUCCCAUCUCUAGGCCUGUAGCUCUUUCCACUGAGCCAGUUAGCUGCCUAGUUUGGGUAUUUCUAAUAAUGUUCUUGGCUCAAAUCCCCAUCUGGUAUAUCCUCCUCCAAGUCAUCGUGAUUGCUUAGUGCCCUCCUAUCAUUUAACCCUUUGUUAUCUUCUGCUUGUUGAUAGCUCCUUAGCAUCAGAUGGCUUUUAGAGAGGGACAUUUACUGUAAGGCAAGAGCCAAAGCACAGCACCUCUGAAACUGGGAACACCUUCUCCCUUCCUCCCUCAGUCCUUGGGGAGGUGACUCUAAAACAUUUCCACCUAGUCCCCUCCUGGUGCAGCGUAGUAGCAGAUGGAUGCACAGGACACAGAAUCUCAGAAGCCCAGUCAAUGCACUGCUAGGUUGGCUCUGCUGCCAUCUUGCCUUCUUCCAGACUCCAUGCUGCAGAAGUCAGGUCAGCUUUUUCUGCUCCAGAAAGAUCCAUGUGUCCUCUCUUCUCUAGGCUCCUCUUGGGUCAGGAAUCCUCAGCCCCCUUGAAACUCAUGCAUUUGGGAGGAAGGCCACUUUCCUUUGAGAAGACAGCUGUGGUUUUCCUGAAGGAGACCUGAGUGUCCUGAAAGUCGACUACCUUCUUGCUUAUUCAUUCUAGCCCCGUUGAGUAAUAUCCUGGUCAAGCUCUGCCCAACAAAAACUAGGCUGAGGAUCCCCCAGAAGGCUUGCAAGGAGAGUCUCUCAAAGAAUGUGUAAUUAUAUUUUCAAACCCAAAUUAGGAUGAUUGAUAGCAAACCCAAGCUCAGUGUGAAUUGCUCCUUUGGCUCAGAUAUCUCUUGCUCUGACCAUUUGGUGUCACUGUCUCCCCAAGCCUCUAGCCUUGGUCUUUAUUAAAACUGUUCUAUCUCCUCCCCACUUAGUCCUGGGAGCUCCAGGAACUGGCAGGAAUUAGCAGUGAAGCAAUGGCAAGGGAGCCACAAGAACCACCCUGCCCUGGCAUAUGGGCCAAGCGCUUUGCACUAUGCUUCUAGCUUCCUCUCAGGAGAUCUGGAUGCCCAGUCAAGUGAAAUUCUUGUUGUUAGGGAUCAGUCCUUCUCCCUGCAUCCUUUUCUCUCUCUGAACCCUUGAGGACAGACCUCAAAAAUUUUGGGGGGACCCUCACCACAUAUAUCUAAUAGUAUUGCUAUAUUGUUCAACACGUUAUGUUACAGAGUUUCUGAGUGUUUUGAAUGCAUUUUGAGUCUAUAUUUAAAAAUGCAAUCAAGUUCUGUAUCACUUACUGCUACUGAGUGACAUAUUAAUUUUGAUAUGAAUUAUGUAUUAUGAGUAAAGUUUGUUUUAGUUGGCAGGGAGAGAAGAGGAAGAGAUGUGAGACAUCUCUAAUUGGCUUAUUCUUGGGUGCUGGGGGAAGCCAAGACUUAUGCACCAUGUGGAAGGAUAGGCUGGGAGAAAAGAUCAUCUAUUUAGAGUAAGGGAUCUUACAAGCCAUCUGGUCUACACUCUUUAUUUUAUAGAUGAGGGAAAUUAAGCCCAUCGAGCUUAAGUGACUUGCCUUGCCUGAGAGCACACAGCAGCCAAGGAAAGAUUUUGAACUCAAGUCCUGUAAAUCUAAAUUCAGUGUGCUCUUUUCAUUGUACCACAUUGCACAUUCACAUAUGUUCAGGCACGUGGUAAAACUCUCAACAUGGAGCCUAUCUUCUGAUCUACCCUGUGCUGCUUGUUAUCAGGCAAACAUUCCCCUGGUUUCUAAUUGUUUACUUAGGUAUUUGGGACUUUUUGGAUGCAGCUCUUCCUUAAAUCAAGUCCCAAUAUGCCUCCCAAGUGGGCCAAUCAUCUGUGGGAUUUUCAUUAAGUAUUUGGUGAGCUCACUUGUAAAUCUCAGAGAUGGAACAUUGCUCCCAUAGUUAGAGAAGCAGAUGACUUCUAGUUUUAUUGAAAAAUGGGUGCUCAGAGUACUGCAGCAGCCUCUUCAUUUGUGCUGUGUGAUUUGUACUGGGUUACUAACUUUAUAAAUAAAUGCAUGGCUCUUGUGUCUCUUGUGAUUCCUAGGACUUAAAGAGAAAAAAAAAUAGGCUAGUCAGGGGAUAACUAUUUUAGCUGAAAAAAUAUAAUUAGGGAUUAUCCCAAUGCUUGUGACUUGUGUGAUAUCCAAGGCUACCUUCUACAAAGCAGAAGAUCACCAAGAAAUUAUUGAUAGUUUUUUUUUUCAAAACCAAUAAAGAAGGAGCCAGCUAUUGGAAGCUGACACAAACAUCAAUACCUUGAAAAUCCCCAAACCCUACAAAUCAAGGAUGGAGUUAUUAUUUAUUUUAUUUUAAAUGUUUACCUUCUGUCUUGGAAUUAAUACUAGGCAUUGGUUCCAAGGCAGAAGAGUGGUAAAGACUAGGCAAUUGGGAUUAAAUGACUUGCCCAGGGUCACAGAACUAGGAUGUGUCUGUCUGAGGUCAGAUUUAUACCCAGGAUCUCUUGUCUUUCUAUCCACCUAGCUGCCCCUAGAGCUUGAUUUGUUAUUUUAUUGAUUGUCUUCUGGGGAAGGUGGUGGCAUAAAGUUAUUAUUAUUAUUUUUUUAACUUUAUCUUCAGUCUUAGAAUCAGUACUGUGUAUUAGUUCCAAGGCAGAAGAGGGGUAAGGACUAGGCAAUGGGGGUUAAGUGACCUGCCCAGGGUCACUCAGCUAUACCAGAGUUGAACCCUCCUGUCUAGGCCUGGUCCUUAAUCUACCGGGUCACCUCAAUGACCUCAUUAUAGCGUUAUAAGACCUGACAUGACACUCAAGAUCCAUUUAUUGGAUUCGCACCUGGAUCUUUUCCUUUGGAUAACUUUGGCAAUUCCAGUUCUGAGAAUGGGGAACACGCCAUCAAAAUAUUUCUGCAGUAAAAAAACAAUACCACAGCGAUGGAAUAGAAGUCUGUAGCUAAUGACUUUUCAAUGGAGAAGAUGGAUGUUCCAUGAGCAAAACACAAAAAGAAAUCUAAAGUUGCUACAUUUUAGGUAAAUGAGUAAAAAAAAAAAUUAUAUAAUAAAGGUCUGAUUCCCAUGAAAAAUUAUAUGAAAGUCAAAAAUCUGAGGCAAUAUUUGCAAUAAGCACAAAUGAUAUUUAGGAGGUAUAUAAGGUGUUGCUUUAAAAAAAACACUCCUAUAGUUCUCUCAAUAUCAUAGAAUUGGAGAAUUGGUGGUGGUGGUGGAGGUGAGACCUUGCCAACCACCUAAUCCAAUCUACACACAAAAGGGAUCUUUACUGUUGCAUGCUGGACAGCUAUCUUCUGAGACCGCCCAUGCCAUUUUGGAACAGCUCUAAUGUCAGGAGGCUUUUCCCAAUUGUUGUCAUUUGUCCUUUGUUUUUGAAGAGGACCAAUGAUAUCACAAGGUGACAUCUUGACUUGUCUAUGAAUUGGAAUUAAGGGGACAGAGUUAUUCGAAUCAGCUUUACUCUUAUUUUUCCAGAGUCAUUGAAGUCCAGUGGAAAUAGCCUGGAAUGCAGUGGAUGACCUUGAGUCUUUGAUAUUGAGUCUAAAUCUGCUUCUUUGCAUCUUCCCCCAUCCCAUUCCUGCUGGUUCUUUGGCCCUCUGAAACCAAAUGGAACAAGCCUCUCAUCUUUCCUCCAUGUAACAGCCCUCCAAAUACUUGGAGACAGCUCUGAUAUGUGUCUGGAAUCUCUUCUCUAGGCUACGCAUCCUCCUUUUCUUCAGCUACUCCUCAUGUGUCAGGGACUCCUGGCUGCCUUCCUUUGACUAUAUUCUUCAGCUCAUUGAUUUCCCUUUUCAAUUAUGGCACCCACAGGUAGACAGUGUACAUGCAAGACUAUAGUUUCUCUUUCCUUACUGUUAUAUCUCUCAGCCCCUCUUGAUGUGGCCUGAAACUCAUUAGCUCUUUCAUAACAAGCUUCCAGUCCACUAACCCCCUCAGAUCUUUUUCAGAACAUCCGAGCCCCUACUCUGUUUGUGAAGUUGAUUGCUUGUGCCCAAGUAUAGGACUUGCCAUGUAUCCCUACUGAAUUUCAUCUUGUUGGAUUCAAACCAAUUGUGCAGCAGAUGCCAAUCUUCUCAGAUCCUGACUCUGGCAUUGAGUGUGUUAAGCAAGCCACCUGACCCCUGUGCAUUUGUUGAGUGUGCCAUCUUUGUCUUUAUCCAAGUCAUUAAUCAAAACCUAAAGCACAGAUUCCCGGGGCACUCCACUAGAGACCUCCAGCCACAUUGAUAUUGAACCUUUAACUGUCUACUCUUUAAAGCCAGCCUUUCAGGUUCUCCGGAUCCACCUGAUUGUCUUAUUGUUUAAUCAAUCUCUCCAUUGUCAGUAUGAGACACUUUAUUAAGGAUUUUGGUAAAAUCUAGGCAAGUUAUAGUUCAAUGGACUUGUCUAAAAAGGAAAGAAAGUCUGGAAUGACUUCUUUUUCAUUAUUUAUUUCUUAUUUACAAGCAAUAAUUAUCUCUCUGUCUUCUAUUGGCCUCCCCUCCCCACCCGACUGACCAAUAAAGACAAACUCAGAAAAAUCAAGAAAGCAAAUUCUCAUAUUGGCCAUAUCGCAAAAUAUUUGGCUCAGCCUGUAUUUCAAGCCACUUACCUGUGUGUGGCCAAAGGUGAAAGCCAAGGUUCUUCUUGAGGCUUCUGGAUUCCUGGUUCAUCAUUUCAUUAAUCAAGAGGUUUUUUUAAAAACCCUGACUUUUCAUUUUAGAAUUAAUACUGUGUAUCAGUUCCAAGGUAGAAGAGCAGUAAGGGCUAAGCAAUGGGGGUUAAGUGACUUGCCCAGGGUCACACAGCUAGGAAGUGUCUGAGGUCAGAUUUGAACCUAGGAUCUCCUAUCUCUUUGUGUGACUCUCCAUCUACUGAGCCACCUAGCUGCCCUCCUGCCCUGUGUGUUUUGAGGUCUGUCCUCUGAAUGUAAAAUAGCAUGCCGGGGUCAUUGUGUGACUUGGAGGGAGGUGAAAAAGCUAUCUCUAGCCUCUCCCUGCAACCCCUCCUUCUCCAUGGGAGAUUUCAAUUUCUGUUGGGAGGAAAAACAAGAGGUUUGGGUCAGAAGCUUGGCUGCUCUGCUCUCCUUAAGGGAAGAGGUGCUGGAAUCAUACCUGUCUGCUCCCUUAUACACAUCAGUAGCUAUCCCCAACAUACUACACUAGAAGCUUCAAGGAUCCUCUCCUUGGGUAAGAUCUGGCACUCUUUUGGUGACACCGAGUGAUCUCCCUCUCAGAGGGAGAAUUUCACUAUGCAUUGUCUGGUGCAUCCUCUUACGUAGACUUUUUGUGACUUCAGUUUUCCUACUGAUUUGUAGAAAUGGAUUUCUUGGUAAAGUGCUAUGUAUGCUCA